UACGAGGGGGGCAAGCGUUGUUCGGAAUUAUUGGGCGUAAAGGGCGCGUAGGCGGUGCGGUAAGUCUGAUGUGAAAUCUCCGGGCUCAACUCGGAGUCUGCAUGAGAAACUGCCGGGCUUGAGUAUGGGAGAGGUGAGUGGAAUUCCUGGUGUAGCGGUGAAAUGCGUAGAUAUCAGGAGGAACACCUGUGGCGAAAGCGGCUCACUGGACCAUAACUGACGCUGAUGCACGAAAGCUAGGGGAGCAAACAGG
rnacentral:rRNA from 1 species